rnacentral:lncRNA from 1 species
GCCUGUGAGAGAGUCUCCUUGAGAGAUUUUGUGAGAGCUUUUAUGAGGGUGAGUGCUUCUUAUUAAGAGAGAGGUUGGUAUAUGAGAGUUGAGAGGGUGUGAUCUCCUCUUGUACUUAUUUUCUUUCUCAUAAUGAAGCUUGCAUAUCCCAUGGAGGUAGAUCUUGGCCUAAUCUACGUAUUUGAUUGUAUCUGUCCUAUAUCUUCUUUUUUU